GUGACCAACAUCCUGGACUUAGCAGGUCCAAUAGAACGGAAUGUUUCAUUCAAUCCAGUGACUUGAGCAAGCGCCUCUCUCCUGAAUCUACUGUUUCUCAAGAAUAAUGAGUUUUGAUGCAGCUAGUUAGCAAAAGGCAGGAACACAAAAGCAACUGAACCUUCCAGGUGCUUAAUAUUUAAAGAUCCUUAAUACUUGCAGCAGCAUUAGAAAGAGAAUUAGUGUAAAACUCCCAGGUAUUGAACCAGGACUAAGCACUCUUAUUCCCAGUGAACUGUCACAACAAACCUCUGGGAUAAGAGCUAUUAUUACUCCCAUUUUAUAGACCAGAACAAUGAAACUACUCCCA
rnacentral:lncRNA from 10 species